AAAAAUAAGAUAGUUUGUCAAGCUAUCUAAUUUCACGUUUUGUCUUUGAUCAUCAGGUAUGUGUUUGGAGUCACACAUGUUCCUCGUUUAGAAGAUUGGCCUGUUAUGCCAGUAGAGCGCAUUGGUUUUAUGCUCAUGCCUCAUGGAUUCUUCAAUUGUUCACCAGCAGUGGAUGUGCCUCCAAGUCCCUGUGAAUUGGAUGCUAAAGAUAAUGACAUCAAGGAUAGUAGUGGUGCUACCAAGCCAAUUCAGAGUGGCUUAGCUUCAAAGUUGUGAUGAAAGUUAUGCCUCUUUGUGCUGCUGAAAAUAGAGAAACACAAGGUGUUGUAUUUUUGCCAUAUACUGAAACCUUGAAACUUCAGGUUGAGCAGAUUAUAUAUAUUUGAACUUAGAACAGUAUUAAAAGCUAUGUGGGUUGAAAAUGAAAGUAGAUAUUUGAAGUUCUAUUUUGGUUGAAAAAACAAAUGAUACCUUUGAAUCUAAAAUAAAUUUCAUGUUUUUAAGGCUGUA